rnacentral:rRNA from 1 species
UGGCUCAGAACGAACGCUGGCGGCGUGCUUAACACAUGCAAGUCGAACGGUGAAGCCCUUCGGGGUGGAUCAGUGGCGAACGGGUGAGUAACACGUGGGCAAUCUGCCCUGCACUCUGGGACAAGCCCUGGAAACGGGGUCUAAUACCGGAUACGACCUGGGAUUGCAUGAUCCCGGGUGGAAAGCUCCGGCGGUGCAGGAUGAGCCCGCGGCCUAUCAGCUUGUUGGUGGGGUAAUGGCCUACCAAGGCGACGAGGGGUAGCCGGCCUGAGAGGGCGACCGGCCACACUGGGACUGAUACUCGGCCCAGACGAAUACGGGAGGCAGC